AGUGGAAUUGCCGGGUCAUAUGGUAAGCGUCUAUUUAAAUUUAUAAGAAACUGCCAAACUGUUUUACAAAGUGAUUGCACCAUUUUACAUUCCCACCAGAGAU
rnacentral:pre_miRNA from 1 species